AUGAACGCUGGCGGCGUGCCUAACACAUGCGAGUCGAACGAAGCAAUUAAGAUGAAGUUUUCGGAUGGAAUCUUGAUUGACUGAGUGGCGGACGGGUGAGUAACGCGUGGAUAACCUGCCUCACACUGGGGGAUAACAGUUAGAAAUGACUGCUAAUACCGCAUAAGCGCACAGUGCCGCAUGGCAGUGUGUGAAAAACUCCGGUGGUGUGAGAUGGAUCCGCGUCUGAUUAGCCAGUUGGCGGGGUAACGGCCCACCAAAGCGACGAUCAGUAGCCGACCUGAUAGGGUGACCGGCCACAUUGGGACUGACACACGGCCCAAACUCCUACGGGAGGCAGCAGUGGGGAAUAUUGCACAAUGGGCGAAAGCCUGAUGCAGCGACGCCGCGUGAGUGAAGAAGUAUUUCGGUAUGUAAAGCUCUAUCAGCAGGGAAGAAAAUGACGGUACCUGACUAAAAAGCCCCGGCUAACUACGUGCCAGCAACCGCGGUAAUACGUAGGGGGCAAGCGUUAUCCGGAUUUACUGGGUGUAAAGGGAGCGUAGACCGCCAACCAAGGCUGAAGUGAACACCCAGGGCUCAACCCUGGGACUGCUUUGGAAACUGUUUUGCUAGAGUGUCGGAGAGGUAAGUGGAAUUCCUAGAGUAGCGGUGAAAUGCGUAGAUAUUAGGAGGAACACCCAGCGGGGAAGGGGGCUUACUGACCGAUAACUGACGUUGAGGCUCGAAAGCGGGGGGAGCAAACAGGAUUAGAUACCCUGGUAGUCCACGCCGUAAACGAUGAAUGCUAGGUGUUGGGGGGCAAAGCCCUUCGGUGCCGCCGCAAACGCAGUAAGCAUUCCACCUGGGGAGUACGUUCGCAAGAAUGAAACUCAAAGGAAUUGACGGGGACCCGCACAAGCGGUGGGAGCAUGUGGUUUAAUUCGAAGCAACGCGAAGAACCUUACCAAGUCUUGACAUCCCCCUGACGGGCCGGUAACGCGGCCUUUCCUUCGGGACAGGGGAGACAGGUGGUGCAUGGUUGUCGUCAGCUCGUGUCGUGAGAUGUUGGGUUAAGUCCCGCAACGAGCGCAACCCUUAUCCUUAGUAGCCAGCACGUGAAGGUGGGCACUCUAGGGAGACUGCCAGGGAUAACCUGGAGGAAGGUGGGGAUGACGUCAAAUCAUCAUGCCCCUUAUGAUUUGGGCUACACACGUGCUACAAUGGCGUAAACAAAGGGAAGCGAGACAGUGAUGUGGAGCAAAUCCCAAAAAUAACGUCCCAGUUCGGACUGUAGUCUGCAACCCGACUACACGAAGCUGGAAUCGCUAGUAAUCGCGAAUCAGAAUGUCGCGGUGAAUACGUUCCCGGGUCUUGUACACACCGCCCGUCACACCAUGGGAGUCAGCAACGCCCGAAGUCAGAGACCCAACCGAAAGGAGGGAGCUGCGGAAGGCGGGG
rnacentral:rRNA from 1 species